AAGUCAUCAUGGCCCUUAUGCCCAGGGCGACACACGUGCUACAAUGGCAUAUACAAUGAGACGCAAUACCGCGAGGUGGAGCAAAUCUAUAAAAUAUGUCCCAGUUCGGAUUGUUCUCUGCAACUCGAGAGCAUGAAGCCGGAAUCGCUAGUAAUCGUAGAUCAGCCAUGCUACGGUGAAUACGUUCCCGGGUCUUGUACUCACCGCCCGUCACACCAUGGGAGUUGAUUUCACUCGAAGCCGGAAUACUAAACUAGUUACCGUCCACAGUGGAAUCAGCGACUGGGGUGAAGUCGUAACAAGGUAACCGUAGGAGAACCUGCGGUUGGAUCACCUCCUUUCUAG
rnacentral:rRNA from 1 species